ensembl:lncRNA
AUGCAGAAGGCUGCUCACAAACAGCCUGUAGCUGCACUUGCUGCCUUUUGGUUGAAGGCAUGGGCAUUAUUAAGCAUGAGAGCUGUUUAUCUGAGAGAAAGCCGAUUGGAGAAUGAAUUAAAACAAACACGAUCACAUCCUGACAUGCAUAAAAUGCUGAUUGCUUUGCUUUUCUUGCAUGUCGAGUGCUUACUCUUGCGAGGCAUUUGGAGCUGUCAGCUCCAGCUGCACAUUAUGAGACAGAGAGGUGCUCAGCCCACCUGGAAAACCCUCGGCAGCAGGAACAGGCCUCACACACAUGCUUGGUUUGCCCAUACAUUGCACCAUGGGAACAGUGGCAAGUGCAGAGGAGCCGUCCCUGUAUGGCCAUGCCGACUUCUGAGCAGGGCCGCGGGUGGGCAGAACGGCUGUGGGACGCUGCGUGUGGCCCUGUGUGAGGGCCGGAGUGCCAGCGGGGUCACAGCUGUCAGCUCUACUAAACAUUUGGAGGCAGCCUUUAUUGGGUGCAUUCAUCAUCUGCUUCUUCAGCUGGGACGUAAAACGGACAGUCACUUCUGAGCUCCAAAACCUUUGUGUCUUUGUAAACCAUUCCUUCUCAAUUUAUUCCACCUCUGAUCCCUGUGUGCCAGUUGCCAGUUUUCUCCCUUGCUCCUCAUCGUGAAGCUGACAAGGAGCAGAGCGGAGCUGACACAGUGAGGCACAGUGAUCCUGUGGGAAUGGCUGCAGAUUGACAACUGACAGUGGAACAAGCAACAGCGAGCAGGUUUUAACCCUGAGAGCUGAUUUCACAUUUAAUGUUCCUUGAGAUGCUGUAGGAAUAAACAGGUACUUCAGCUUUACUCCUUUUUGUGAUGCUUGUUGGAAAAAUAUGACUACUUUAGAGCCCUUGCCCAGAGGAAUCUCACUUUUGCAGGGUGUUUUAUAGACUCCAGGCCUGCUCUCAUUUCCUAGAGCCAGAGCAAGAGUGACAUGAGGACUGGGGCUAUGAAGAAGGCUGGUGGGCCUGAGAAAAUUGGGCUUGAUGUGGUGGUAAUGAGGGGCCAUGCAGAGAUAGUGAAAAAGUGAGUUUUGUUGGCCUGCUGGAGGCUUUUAGAGUGCCAGGAACAGCUUGGACUGAGUUGUCCAAGUGUAUGGCUAGGGGUCACUGCUGCAGCUCCCUCAUUGCGCUUCAGGGCCCAAGCACCAUGUGCUCCACCUGCGUGGGGAAACCAGGACAAAUACAGGGAGGAAAACUAGCAGCUACCCAUUGUAAGCACUGUCUGUGCUCUUCCCUGCCCCCAGGGGAACACAUACACUUCCACAGCAGUCCAGCCAUAAAUCUGACUUCAUCCCAAAUCCCAGGGGACAGGGAGCUCUUUGAGGCUCGUGAAAUUAGCAUUUUUGUUUUGUUAGCUUUGGAAAAUAACAGUUACAGCACAGGGGACUUGGCCCAGUGAUAUGCCUACAUAUGCACAGCAUGCUCUUUCUAUACCCAUUAGAGCACCACAUAUGCCUAAAGUACUUUUUUCUGGCCAGAACCCAUACUAUUAGUUUCUGCUGUGUCCUACAUCCAGAAACUGAUUUUACACCUACUGUUCUGGGGGAUGCUGUAUGAAUACAGAGAUCUGUCAUUCUUACUCCUUUUGCAGGUGAAGCCAUUCAGUUCCUGCCAGACCAGUUGCUUUGUGUUCCAACUUCAGUGCUGCAGAACCUUGAGGCAAACUGGGAGAUGAUGUGGGGACAGCAGCAGCCCAAAAGCACUAGAAGGGAUAAGGAUGGAUAAACAGCAAGAGAAAAGGAAUACAGAAUCCAACAGCAAUAAUUUUGGGGUGCAGAAGAUGAUGGGGGUGCUACUUGGAAGGAAGAGGCUGCACUAAUGACCGUUACUUGUGAGAAGUUGACUGAUAGCACACUGAGCUGAACACAUACACAUAUAUGCAUUAAAAUCUCUUUUCUUAAUCAUAUGUGCACUCACUGGUAUAGAUAUCAUACACGGUCAUGAGAACAGUGCAAAUAGACAACCCUGCAAGCUCUGUUUGCAUUAGGGCUAAAAGUUGAAGCACAAAUUCCCAAAAUGAACACUUAGUUUCUAAAAAUCUUUCUUGUGGCUGUUUUCAUAGCAAUAACCACUAUAGAGAAAAGACAUUUGAUGUCAGGGCUAUAAAGCAAUUGGUGCCUUUACCAGAUCGUCCUGAAUUACCUCCUAGUAGAGACCCAAUGAAUGGCAGCAGCUAGACUCACCAAGCAUGCUUAGAUAUUGUGGAUACAUUCAUUGCAGGUGUCAUGGUGCCCUCCCUCCAGAUUCUCCCCGUGCACCUGCAGGGUCAAAACAAGAGUGGAUAGCUAGUAUUCCUAAUGCAGGCCUUGCCUUUGACAGAAGGUGGGAGCAGAUGGGGUCCCUUCUGCUCCUGCCUAUGACUGUAUGAGAAAGAGAGGGAUAAAGAUUUC